rnacentral:rRNA from 1 species
UGUAAGCGUAUACCAAAGUUGUUGCAGUUAAAACGCUCGUAGUCGGAAUUUGGCAGUUCCGGAUGUGUGCACGUCGUGUGCGCACUUCGCGGGGAUUGCUUUUGUGGUCUUGCGUAGGAUGAGGCACUUUUAUUAGUGAACGUCCUCACGCAACCACUUUUUACUGUGAGAAAAUCAGAGUGCUCAAAGCAGGCAUUUGCCGUGAAUGUAUUAGCAUGGAAUAAUAGAAUAGGACUUGGUUCUAUUUUGUUGGUUUGUUGGGACUGAGUAAUGAUUAAGAGGGACAGUUGGGGGCAUUGGUAUUUCGGUGCUAGAGGUGAAAUUCUUAGAUUACCGAAAGACAAACUGCUGCGAAAGCGUCUGCCAAGGAUGUUUUCAUUGA